rnacentral:rRNA from 1 species
CCCUACGGGGCGCAGCAGGCGCGAAAACUUUACAAUGCGGGCAACCGUGAUAAGGGAACCUCGAGUGCCUGUAAAUGCAGGCUGUUUAGGUGUUUAAAACGCACCUGGAGAAAGGGCCGGGCAAGACCGGUGCCAGCCGCCGCGGUAAUACCGGCGGUUCGAGUGGUGGCCGCUUUUAUUGGGCUUAAAGCGUUCGUAGCUGGGUUGUUAAGUCUCUUGGGAAAUCUGGCGG